rnacentral:rRNA from 1 species
GACGAACGCUGGCGGCGUGCUUAACACAUGCAAGUCGAACGGAAAGGCCCUGCUUUUGUGGGGUGCUCGAGUGGCGAACGGGUGAGUAACACGUGAGUAACCUGCCCUUGACUUUGGGAUAACUUCAGGAAACUGGGGCUAAUACCGGAUAGGAGCUCCUGCUGCAUGGUGGGGGUUGGAAAGUUUCGGCGGUUGGGGAUGGACUCGCGGCUUAUCAGCUUGUUGGUGGGGUAGUGGCUUACCAAGGCUUUGACGGGUAGCCGGCCUGAGAGGGUGACCGGCCACAUUGGGACUGAGAUACGGCCCAGACUCCUACGGGAGGCAGCAGUGGGGAAUAUUGCACAAUGGGCGGAAGCCUGAUGCAGCAACGCCGCGUGCGGGAUGACGGCCUUCGGGUUGUAAACCGCUUUCGCCUGUGACGAAGCGUGAGUGACGGUAAUGGGUAAAGAAGCACCGGCUAACUACGUGCCAGCAGCCGCGGUGAUACGUAGGGUGCGAGCGUUGUCCGGAUUUAUUGGGCGUAAAGGGCUCGUAGGUGGUUGAUCGCGUCGGAAGUGUAAUCUUGGGGCUUAACCCUGAGCGUGCUUUCGAUACGGGUUGACUUGAGGAAGGUAGGGGAGAAUGGAAUUCCUGGUGGAGCGGUGGAAUGCGCAGAUAUCAGGAGGAACACCAGUGGCGAAGGCGGUUCUCUGGGCCUUUCCUGACGCUGAGGAGCGAAAGCGUGGGGAGCGAACAGGCUUAGAUACCCUGGUAGUCCACGCUGUAAACGGUGGGUACUAGGUGUGGGGUCCAUUCCACGGGUUCCGUGCCGUAGCUAACGCUUUAAGUACCCCGCCUGGGGAGUACGGCCGCAAGGCUAAAACUCAAAGGAACUGACGGGGCCCCGCACAAGCGGCGGAGCAUGCGGAUUAAUUCGAUGCAACGCGUAGAACCUUACCUGGGUUUGACAUGGAUCGGGAGUGCUCAGAGAUGGGUGUGCCUCUUUUGGGGUCGGUUCACAGGUGGUGCAUGGCUGUCGUCAGCUCGUGUCGUGAGAUGUUGGGUUAAGUCCCGCAACGAGCGCAACCCUUGUUCACUGUUGCCAGCACGUUAUGGUGGGGACUCAGUGGAGACCGCCGGGGUCAACUCGGAGGAAGGUGGGGAUGACGUCAAGUCAUCAUGCCCCCUAUGUCCAGGGCUUCACGCAUGCUACAAUGGCUGGUACAGAGAGUGGCGAGCCUGUGAGGGUGAGCGAAUCUCGGAAAGCCGGUCUCAGUUCGGAUUGGGGUCUGCAACUCGACCUCAUGAAGUCGGAGUCGCUAGUAAUCGCAGAUCAGCAACGCUGCGGUGAAUACGUUCCCGGG